rnacentral:rRNA from 1 species
GAAGGAUCAUUACCGAGUGUAGGGUUCCUAGCGAGCCCAACCUCCCACCCGUGUUUACUGUACCUUAGUUGCUUCGGCGGGCCCGCCAUUCAUGGCCGCCGGGGGCUCUCAGCCCCGGGCCCGCGCCCGCCGGAGACACCACGAACUCUGUCUGAUCUAGUGAAGUCUGAGUUGAUUGUAUCGCAAUCAGUUAAAACUUUCAACAAUGGAUCUCUUGGUUCCGGCAUCGAUGAAGAACGCAGCGAAAUGCGAUAACUAGUGUGAAUUGCAGAAUUCCGUGAAUCAUCGAGUCUUUGAACGCACAUUGCGCCCCCUGGUAUUCCGGGGGGCAUGCCUGUCCGAGCGUCAUUGCUGCCCAUCAAGCACGGCUUGUGUGUUGGGUCGUCGUCCCCUCUCCGGGGGGGACGGGCCCCAAAGGCAGCGGCGGCACCGCGUCCGAUCCUCGAGCGUAUGGGGCUUUGUCACCCGCUCUGUAGGCCCGGCCGGCGCUUGCCGAACGCAAAUCAAUCUUUUUCCAGGUUGACCUCGGAUCAGGUAGGGAUACCCGCUGAACUUAA